ncrna:16S ribosomal RNA from Staphylococcus aureus (PDB 5ND8, chain a)
GGAGAGUUUGAUCCUGGCUCAGGAUGAACGCUGGCGGCGUGCCUAAUACAUGCAAGUCGAGCGAACGGACGAGAAGCUUGCUUCUCUGAUGUUAGCGGCGGACGGGUGAGUAACACGUGGAUAACCUACCUAUAAGACUGGGAUAACUUCGGGAAACCGUAGCUAAUACCGGAUAAUAUUUUGAACCGCAUGGUUCAAAAGUGAAAGACGGUCUUGCUGUCACUUAUAGAUGGAUCCGCGCUGCAUUAGCUAGUUGGUAAGGUAACGGCUUACCAAGGCAACGAUGCAUAGCCGACCUGAGAGGGUGAUCGGCCACACUGGAACUGAGACACGGUCCAGACUCCUACGGGAGGCAGCAGUAGGGAAUCUUCCGCAAUGGGCGAAAGCCUGACGGAGCAACGCCGCGUGAGUGAUGAAGGUCUUCGGAUCGUAAAACUCUGUUAUUAGGGAAGAACAUAUGUGUAAGUAACUGUGCACAUCUUGACGGUACCUAAUCAGAAAGCCACGGCUAACUACGUGCCAGCAGCCGCGGUAAUACGUAGGUGGCAAGCGUUAUCCGGAAUUAUUGGGCGUAAAGCGCGCGUAGGCGGUUUUUUAAGUCUGAUGUGAAAGCCCACGGCUCAACCGUGGAGGGUCAUUGGAAACUGGAAAACUUGAGUGCAGAAGAGGAAAGUGGAAUUCCAUGUGUAGCGGUGAAAUGCGCAGAGAUAUGGAGGAACACCAGUGGCGAAGGCGACUUUCUGGUCUGUAACUGACGCUGAUGUGCGAAAGCGUGGGGAUCAAACAGGAUUAGAUACCCUGGUAGUCCACGCCGUAAACGAUGAGUGCUAAGUGUUAGGGGGUUUCCCGCCCCUUAGUGCUGCAGCUAACGCAUUAAGCACUCCGCCUGGGGAGUACGACCGCAAGGUUGAAACUCAAAGGAAUUGACGGGGACCCGCACAAGCGGUGGAGCAUGUGGUUUAAUUCGAAGCAACGCGAAGAACCUUACCAAAUCUUGACAUCCUUUGACAACUCUAGAGAUAGAGCCUUCCCCUUCGGGGGACAAAGUGACAGGUGGUGCAUGGUUGUCGUCAGCUCGUGUCGUGAGAUGUUGGGUUAAGUCCCGCAACGAGCGCAACCCUUAAGCUUAGUUGCCAUCAUUAAGUUGGGCACUCUAAGUUGACUGCCGGUGACAAACCGGAGGAAGGUGGGGAUGACGUCAAAUCAUCAUGCCCCUUAUGAUUUGGGCUACACACGUGCUACAAUGGACAAUACAAAGGGCAGCGAAACCGCGAGGUCAAGCAAAUCCCAUAAAGUUGUUCUCAGUUCGGAUUGUAGUCUGCAACUCGACUACAUGAAGCUGGAAUCGCUAGUAAUCGUAGAUCAGCAUGCUACGGUGAAUACGUUCCCGGGUCUUGUACACACCGCCCGUCACACCACGAGAGUUUGUAACACCCGAAGCCGGUGGAGUAACCUUUUAGGAGCUAGCCGUCGAAGGUGGGACAAAUGAUUGGGGUGAAGUCGUAACAAGGUAGCCGUAUCGGAAGGUGCGGCUGGAUCACCUCCUU